AUUGAACGCUGGCGGCAGGCCUAACACAUGCAAGUCGAACGGUAGCACAGAGAGCUUGCUCUUGGGUGACGAGUGGCGGACGGGUGAGUAAUGUCUGGGAAACUGCCCGAUGGAGGGGGAUAACUACUGGAAACGGUAGCUAAUACCGCAUAACGUCUUCGGACCAAAGUGGGGGACCUUCGGGCCUCACACCAUCGGAUGUGCCCAGAUGGGAUUAGCUAGUAGGUGGGGUAAUGGCUCACCUAGGCGACGAUCCCCAGCUGGUCUGAGAGGAUGACAGCCACACUGGAACUGAGACACGGUCCAGACUCCUACGGGAGGCAGUAGUGGGGAAUAUUGCACAAUGGGCGCAAGCCUGAUGCAGCCAUGCCGCGUGUAUGAAGAAGGCCUUCGGGUUGUAAAGUACUUUCAGCGGGGAGGAAGGCGGUGGAGUUAAUAGCUUCAUCGAUUGACGUUACCCGCAGAAGAAGCACCGGCUAACUCCGUGCCAGCCGCCGCAGUAA
rnacentral:rRNA from 1 species